rnacentral:rRNA from 1 species
GGAUGAACGCUGGCGGCGUGCUUAACACAUGCAAGUCGAACGAGAAUCAAUGGAUCAAGACUUCGGUCAAGUGAAGUUGAGGACAGUGGCGGACGGGUGAGUAACGCGUGAGGAACCUGCCUCGGAGUGGGGAAUAACAGUUGGAAACAGCUGCUAAUACCGCAUAAUGCAUACGGAUCGCAUGGUCUGUAUGCCAAAGAUUUAUCGCUCUGAGAUGGCCUCGCGUCUGAUUAGCUAGUUGGUGGGGUAACGGCCUACCAAGGCGACGAUCAGUAGCCGACCUGAGAGGGUGACCGGCCACAUUGGGACUGAGACACGGCCCAAACUCCUACGGGAGGCAGCAGUGGGGAAUAUUGCACAAUGGGCGAAAGCCUGAUGCAGCGACGCCGCGUGAGUGAAGAAGUAUUUCGGUAUGUAAAGCUCUAUCAGCAGGGAAGAAAAUGACGGUACCUGACUAAGAAGCACCGGCUAAAUACGUG